rnacentral:misc_RNA from 1 species
CCCCCUUAAGAGAAUGGAAUUCAACGAAAGGAUCAUCACAAAUGAAAAAGGAAAAGAGUACAAGUCAAGCUCUACAUACAUAGAUGAAGAUCAACAAUUGAAUAAGUUCUAAUACAAUUGAAGUAGAUAUGCAAUGAAAAUAAUGAAGAAACUCAUAGCUCCGGAAACAUUUACUGGACUUGAUCUAUAAGGUGCCCAACUGCCCAUAUCUUUCAAAACAUCUAUCCUAAUGAUGCUGCUGCGCAAACAGAUCCUUCUUCUCUUGCUUCUCUUUGUUUUCUCCCUGCAGCUUCAUUUCAAAGCUUCGACAUCAUUCAUUCAAAACACUCUUAAUAUGCUUUUCUGGAAUAUGUUCUAUCUUUGGCCAAUCUUCACCGCCUUCUGCACAUCUCUCUUUCAGUAAAGCACACUCCAUGAUAGACAAUGAACGAAGCGAAGCUGGCAACCCUGAAGCUGGUAAGCAUGCAAGUUUUGGGCAAGAUUGUAUAGACAAACUUUCAAGAUUUCGGAGUUCAUGGAGACACACAGGAAGUGAUUCAAGGUUGGCACAUGAUAAAAGCCUCAAAUUCUUGAGUGAGAUUCCUAGCUUCUCUUCGGGAAAAGACACAAUUUUAGGACAUUUGGAAAUAUGCAGCUCCUCAAGAGAGAAUACAUUUUGUAGUCCACUAGGUAGAUUCUUCAAAGUAUUGCACAUGUCAAUUGAAAGAUGUUGCAGCGAACUGGGAAGCCCCUUUUCAGCAAAUGACAGCAGCUUUGGACAGCAUGAGAUUUCCAAUCUUUGGAGAGACUGAAGAUCUUGUACACCUAACUCAUUUUGCAAUGCCUUGAAUCGGUGCAAGUUCUUGAUUUUGAGUUUUUUCAGGGCAGUUAGUGGUUGAAGAAGACCAUCAGGUAAUAAAUCUACUCUCCGGAAGUUCAAAAUCUCCAAAGAGGAUAAGGAGGUGAGGAAAUGCACUGAACACAAUACUCUCUCAUGACAAUUAUCUAGCAACAGAUCACUCAGUGAUGGAAAUUUUGGAAGGUUGGUAAUGCUGGGACAGUUCAAAACUUCAAGCUGCUCAAGCACAGGGAAUUCUCCAUGAUCAAUCUCUUCCCAUUCCUUCAAACUUCUCAUCUCUUCGAGCUUUAGUUUCUUCAAAGAAGGGAACCCCUUAAUCUUACCAUUCCCAUAGAACUCACGACCAAUGCUUUCGAGCUCUAGCAUCAUACAUAUGGUGAGAUAUUUGAGAAACGGUAGCUG